GGGGGCGGAUCGGGCCUGGUGGCUCGACUGGUCUUCAAAACCAGCUGGGCGGAGUGAUCCUUCGCCUGGUGGGUUCGAUUCCCACACGUCCCCGCCA
rnacentral:tRNA from 2 species